GAAAUGCAAAUAAAAUAUAUGAUUUAGUAGCUUGGUGGGUAGUACUGGUGAUAGGAGGAUGGUUGGACUAGAUGAUCUUGUAGGUCCUUUCCAACCUUGUGUUUCUAUGAUUCUGUGAA